rnacentral:rRNA from 1 species
UACAGAGGGUGCAAGCGUUGUUCGGAAUUAUUGGGCGUAAAGGGCGCGUAGGCGGUGCGGUAAGUCUGUAGUGAAAUCUCUGGGCUCAACUCAGAGUCUGCUGCAGAAACUGCCGUGCUUGAGUGUGGGAGAGGUGAGUGGAAUUCCCGGUGUAGCGGUGAAAUGCGUAGAUAUUGGGAGGAACACCAGUGGCGAAGGCGGCUCACUGGACCGGUACUGACGCUGAUGCGCGAAAGCGUGGGGAGCAAACGGG